rnacentral:rRNA from 1 species
UACGGGGGGGGCUAGCGUUGUCCGGAAUCAUUGGGCGUAAAGCGCGUGUAGGCGGUUCGGUAAGUCCGCUGUGAAAGUCGGGGGCUCAACCCUCGAAAGCCGGUGGAUACUGUCGGACUAGAGUACGGAAGAGGCGAGUGGAAUUCCUGGUGUAGCGGUGAAAUGCGCAGAUAUCAGGAGGAACACCAAUUGCGAAGGCAGCUCGCUGGGACGUUACUGACGCUGAGACGCGAAAGCGUGGGGAGCAAACAGG